CUGGCAGUCCCGUUUUCUAAAGUAGAGAAGCUGCUUUUCCCAGCCCCAGGAACCCCUCUCGUGGCCCUAUCCAUGGCUUUCCUUCGCGGCAUUCGGGCUCCCAUUCUGAGCCAUCCAUUACGAACCAACCCUAAACCUGAGGCCCAGGUUUGCGAGCUUGUACAGGGCCACUGCCACUACAUCGAGCACCAGCAGCCUCGUGGGGUCUUUCUCUUGCCACCAUUGAGCAAAGCAGAUCACAUCAUAGCCUCCGCGGCCCAGCCAAACCACUGAAUCAUCCCGCUACGAGUGAACAUCACGUAGAAGAGGAUAUUGGCUAUCAAGAGGAGAAAGCGUGGACGCUUUGAUAGGGAGUAUCACAGGGAGUUAAACCCGCAGAUGAUCGGAAUUACUGUUAAAAACAAGUCAAUGCUAAUGGACAUUACAAUGAUAAUCAGCUGGGUUGUCAGCACGUGUGCCGCGAACAGCUUCCAUGUGCUGAUGAAGAUGAAAUUGAUCCUGACAUGCUCUAACGCGCUGCACAUCAAUUUGUCUUUUUGAAAAGAAACCGGUACCGUAAGAGUGGUCGAGACAGCAGUGAGGGAAGACCAGACGAGGCAGAGGUUUUGCAAGCGCAAAGCCAGGUAGGGGGGACUCCGACGGAAUACAGGAAUUUUGCCAGGUACUAUUUCCAGCACACAUUCAGAAGGCGACUGCAUCGCAGAGCUGAAAGGGGCUCAGCAGAAAGCGAUGAGGAAGGGCAAUUAGGAGGGAGAGCAAUUAGGAGGGAGAGCGCGCUCAGGAGCAACAUGAUGGAUUCUGCUGCAGUCUUCACAAAGAUCAUGCCGUCUAUGCGCUUCACUUUGGCAGCAUCUAUGGUGAGGUGCUCAAUCUCGUCCACUUUCGAGUCGGCCAUGAUCAAGUAACGGUGUGUGUCUCACGUCACAAGAGAGUUGUAGGCAGCAUACAGUGGAAUUGAAAGAGCAGGAUGGAAGGGAUGGUGGUGAAGGAUGGCGUUCCAUCACACACACUCUCAAUCCCUCAGGAGCAGGACUUCGGGGCGAAUCUCGAUGAGGAGGACCCUAGUCCCGCGUGGUUUGGGAUGGAGAACAAAGGGCAGGGGCAGGGCUUCUCAUGCUGUCCCCCCCAUGAGUCCUGGUGGCUAUGUGAGUGAAUGAGUGUGACCUACACUAUUUUUGUCUUAUACUAACACACUGAUUCUGACUUACACUUAACUCAAGUCCCGUUGACGCUUUAGCAGCUUCAACAGCUAGUCUUUACUACUCAGGCAACCUGUCCACUCCUUUGACAUGUUUUGGCUCAACAAGUGCUUGAUUUACGGCUUUGAUAAUCCCAACACUUUUUCAAAUA